GCGGAUGUAGCCAAGUGGAUCAAGGCAGUGGAUUGUGAAUCCCAAUUGCGCGAA
rnacentral:tRNA from 1 species